GUCCAGAUGAUGGUUGUAUCAGCAUUUUAGGAGACUGUGUUGAACAUUUCAGAUUGUCAGUUCUGACAUAUAAUGUAACAUUUUCCAGAAAAAGAGAGUUAUUGGUGAAUAAUGAACAGGUAAACAUGUUUGUUUACUGAUUGCAGGGACCUUGACGAUAGCCAGGACACCUAUGAUGACAUUGCAAGUUUUGAGAAAAAUGAGUCCUGGAGUGACAACAGUUCACAGUGUAUAGAAGAGGACGAUGAUGAAAUAUACGAGUUAGUAGAUGAGUAAGUAUAGAUUUUUCUGCCUUU